GGAACAAGGUGACUGUUCCUUCUGGGGAUAUUUGAACAAUACAGAAAAGAUUAGCAUGGCACCUGCUCAAAGAUGACAUGCACAAAUCUAAAAAGUGGUCUAAAUUUUU
rnacentral:snRNA from 2 species